GAUGAACGCUGACAGAAUGCUUAACACAUGCAAGUCUUGGCGAAGCUGUGCUCGCACAGCCUAGCCAAGGCGGACGGGUGAGUAACGCGUAAGGAACUUGCCCUGCAGUCAGGGAUAACAGACGGAAACGACUGAUAAGACCUGGUAAAGUCAGGCGGACUCAUGUCCAGCCUGAUGAAAAGAGAUGCUGCAGGAGAGCCUUGCGUCCUAUUAGCUUGUUGGUGGGGUAACGGCCCACCAAGGCGAUGAUAGGUAGCCGGCCUGAGAGGGUGGACGGCCACAAGGGGACUGAGAUACGGCCCUUACUCCUACGGGAGGCAGCAGUGGGGAAUAUUGGACAAUGGGGGCAACCCUGAUCCAGCAAUUCUGUGUGCACGAUGAAGGUUUUCGGAUUGCAAAGUGCUUUCAGCAGGGAAGAAAAAAAUGACGGUACCUGCAGAAGAAGCGACGGCUAAAUACGUG
rnacentral:rRNA from 1 species